GUUUUGUUGGUAUAACCUAAAAAAGUGAUAAAAAUAGGUAAGGAUAUGACGAGGCACAAAGAAAAGGUAAAACUAUACAAUUAUGCCAGAAAAAUAAAGGGGUUGGGGGAGGAGUUGAGUCUGAUGUUAGAAGGGAAGAUUAUAUUACAUGCAACUAAAUGAAUGAUAGUUAAAUGCCUAAUGACAAACACACAGCCAUCUCUUUCCAUACUGCUCCAUCUGCAAAUUAACAUUAAUGAAAAAUUUGCAAAAUUAUGAAUUCAUCAUAUGAAAGCUUAAGUAACCAAUUUAUUCCAUUACAUUCAUUUUAAUAACGUAAGAAAAUUAUGAAUUGAAGUAUCAUCCACGAUACACCACCUCUGUGCCAUGUAUCACAAUGGCUUCAUAGCUCAUUUGCUACCCAACCCUGAGAUUCAUAUCAAAUCAUUUUCCACACAAGUUCCUCCUGUUCCUUCUCACAUAUAUUGAAUAUUUUAUUUUCAGAAACUGAAUCCAGUAGCAUUUUCCUGUUUUUAAUGCAAUUUCCUAAAAGAUACAAUCUUUCUUAGAAGUGUUGAAACAGUUCAAUAAACUUCCAAACAGAUAUCCAAUAUACUUAAAAUUACCUUCUUGGUUGAGGUUGUGUCUUUUUUCUCCAUCAUUUCCGCAGCAUUAAUGUCUUUCUUUUCUACUUUAGGUUCUUCAAGCUUUGGCUUCAAAGCAAUAGGAUUCUCGAAAGCAUCCGGUCCAUUUCCUUUUAUAUCUCUCUCCAUUGCAACAAGAACAUUAUAUUUCUCAAAAUAGAACUCCUUCAGCUUGUUGAACAUAUUGACAAUGGUUUGCUGGUCAAUAGAGAGACAUGGAUGAAUGAUGUGUCCAUAGACAUAAUAAGAACCAUCAAAGUGAGGUAUAACCAAGCAGCCAACAGCUAUUAGCUUAAUGUAAGGCCAAAAGGGACACCAUUCUAGUAGCUUCAAAAAAGCAUUUUCAAACAGCAAAAUCGAAGAGAAGCAGACCCAAUAUGUGAUCAGCCUCUGGGUUUCCGAGAUGGAAUUAGUCUCAAUUGCU
rnacentral:misc_RNA from 1 species